rnacentral:rRNA from 1 species
UUAAUGGAGAGUUUGAUCCUGGCUCAGGACGAACGCUGGCGGCGUGCUUAACACAUGCAAGUCGAGCGGUAAGGCCCUUCGGGGUACACGAGCGGCGAA